rnacentral:rRNA from 1 species
AUUGAACGCUGGCGGCAGGCCUAACACAUGCAAGUCGAACGGUAACAGGUUAAGCUGACGAGUGGCGAACGGGUGAGUAAUAUAUCGGAACGUGCCCAGUCGUGGGGGAUAACUGCUCGAAAGAGCAGCUAAUACCGCAUACGACCUGAGGGUGAAAGCGGGGGAUCGCAAGACCUCGCGCGAUUGGAGCGGCCGAUAUC